UACGUAGGGUGCGAGCGUUGUCCGGAAUUACUGGGCGUAAAGAGCUCGUAGGUGGUUUGUCGCGUUGUUCGUGAAAUCUCACGGCUUAACUGUGAGCGUGCGGGCGAUACGGGCAGACUAGAGUACUGCAGGGGAGACUGGAAUUCCUGGUGUAGCGGUGGAAUGCGCAGAUAUCAGGAGGAACACCGGUGGCGAAGGCGGGUCUCUGGGACGGUACUGACGCUGAGACGCGAAAGCGUGGGGAGCAAACAGG
rnacentral:rRNA from 1 species